CAGCAGUGGGGAAUAUUGCACAAUGGGCGCAAGCCUGAUGCAGCCAUGCCGCGUGUAUGAAGAAGGCCUUCGGGUUGUAAAGUACUUUCAGCAGUGAGGAAGGCGGGUACGUUAAUAGCGUGCUCGUUUGACGUUAGCUGCAGAAGAAGCACCGGCUAACUCCGUGCCAGCAGCCGCGGUAAUACGGAGGGUGCGAGCGUUAAUCGGAAUUACUGGGCGUAAAGCGCAUGCAGGUGGUUUGUUAAGUCAGAUGUGAAAGCCCGGGGCUCAACCUCGGAAUUGCAUUUGAAACUGGCAGACUAGAGUACUGUAGAGGGGGUAGAAUUUCAGGUGUAGCGGUGAAAUGCGUAGAGAUCUGAAGGAAUACCGGUGGCGAAGGCGGCCCCCUGGACAGAUACUGACACUCAGAUGCGAAAGCGUGGGGAGCAAACAGGAUUAGAUACCCUGGUAG
rnacentral:rRNA from 1 species